AGGACGAACGCUGGCGGCGUGCUUAACACAUGCAAGUCGAACGAGGUCCAGCCGGUGGCAACACCAGCGAAGACCGAGUGGCGAACGGGUGAGUAACACGUGAGCAACUUACCCCGAAGACCGGGAUAACACCGGGAAACCAGUGCUAAUACCGGAUGCCCCCAUUGGGUCGCAUGGCCUGAUGAGGAAAUGGGUUUCCGCUUCGGGAGGGGCUCGCGGCCUAUCAGCUGGUUGGUGAGGUAACGGCUUACCAAGGCAACGACGGGUAGCUGGUCUGAGAGGACGAUCAGCCACACUGGGACUGAGACACGGCCCAGACUCCUACGGGAGGCAGC
rnacentral:rRNA from 1 species